UGGGCCCGUCCUGUAAAUGAGGUGCGCUUCCUCUGACGCUGCCAAUAGGCGGUGUGCCCUAAACCCGCCAGAUUGUUUAGUUACACCAGAAUGCUAAGACUUUAGAAAAUUGAUUUUACUGAGACUUACCAUUUGCGCUGUUUACCGUGAUCGUAAGCCAAUCAAAAUCCGCCUGCAUGCUCUACCUAACGUCCACGGCUACAGAGAAGGUGUGCCAGAAGAAGGAUGCCAUCGCAGCACUGACCCUGAAGAAGACCGCAAAGACAAGCCAGACACACCAGACAACCACCAAGUGAUCUGGAUGUCCAUUUCUGAAUAAGCGUUAAUGAAUGUCCUGCAGCCAAACAUGUGUUCAUCUGCCCUGCCUGGAGGCCUGCAGCUCUGGAUCCUGGUGAUGGUGACGUCUUUGACUCGAGGUGAGGUGAUCGUCCCUUCCAGUCUGAACGCCAUCGCGGGUCUUCCCUUCUCACUGGGCUGUAACGUCACCAUGGAAACUGGCCACACGGUGAAGGCCGGCCCCCAAACAGACCUUUUCUUGUUUCUACUGAACCACCACAAGAGAGCUGCUUUAAGUUAACCCUCAGUGGUUUUAGCUUCUGUGCCCUCGCCUCUUGAUCAUGGCUGCAGACAUGGAGCAGAACAGUGGGACGGGUCCAGAUCAGACCUCCUUCUGGAAGGGCAUCCAACUAAACAAAAUAAUGGAGCACAGGCUGCAAUGUCACAUCCUGGAAGGCCUCCAGCCUGCCCUCAGCCCAGUUAGGAACAGCCCAAAAUACAGGAGACCAAUGGGCACCCAUGUGACUCAUGCACAUGUUGGCCAGCAGCACCAGGCUGGAGCAGAAGUUGGAGCGAUGCCUGUGGUCCCAGAAGGUUCUGACAGCCAUGGUGACGGCACUGACAGCCAUGUUGACAGCACUGACAGGCUUGGGGUUCUCUGCUUUCUACAUGUUGUACACUGGGGACAAUGCACAGUAGCGGCACCUGACCAUGGAGAACUGGACUUGUGUAUGCAACAUGGAUGUAACGUUGAGGGGCAGAGCACCGACCAACCAAUAGUCGUUGCCAGGGCUGCACAGCUAUCUACCCCAUUGUCACAUACAUAUAGAACCCAUAGACGUUUUACACCUCAGUACAUCAAACACCACUUCCUCCUGCACAAGUUGCUGUACGUGUUUUGUAGGUCGGAAACAAGAAACAGUGCGGAGCCACCACCCAUACCUUGUGUGUUUGGAAAGACAGAGCUUGUUAAAGGGUGAAUGUGACUUGCUCUGAGCAUCAAUAUUUAGCCUGAAACUUUGAAUUGACAUCCAGACAGACAGGUCAAGAGAAUAAUAUAUUGGUUAGUUGGUUUUACGGGGUAGAAUGUGGAAAAGUGCAUUCAGGUUUGUUGUGCUUUUAGGAAUGCAGGGAAUGUACACAGCCAUUGAGGGUAAGUCCAGAUAAUAGUUUCAUUUGAAUGAUUCCCUGCAUUUUCUUUGCAACUGUUCAUGCAUUGGUGUGCCUGUAGAUUCAGUACACAUACAUUUUAGCUGAGGAAGCAAGAAAAUGUUUUACAUUGUAUUAAUUUAGCUGACACUUUUGAACAAAGCAACACACAGAUAGUGUCUAUAAUAACUACAGUAGAUAAUCAAGGAUCAGUGCUCAGUUCAUUUUACUUAACUAAUAUGAUUUGAGCAGAGUAUUCCCAGUCUAUCCCAUCAUCCACUAAUAGGAGUCUGGUGGCUGAGCGGUGAGGGUAUUGGGCUAGUAAUCUGAAGGUUGCCAAAUGACGUUUUGUCCUUGGGCAAGGUACUUCACCCUACUUGCCUCGGGGGGAAUGUAAAUGCGUCUGCUAAAUGACUAAAUGUAAAUGUAAUAACAGCAAUUUGUCUUUUUUUUUUUACAGAAACUCAAAAUGUUGUGCUCACAGAAAUGUCUAAUUCCAUUCCUAAAUGCACCCACCCAUCAUUUGAGGAAAUGAUGGUUGUCAAUUGUGAGAUACAUACAGUGAAUAAUUGGACAUGUAAAAUUUCGUAUCGAUUCGACAACAAUGAAACACACACAAAUUGUGACUCCAGAGUCACCAUGCACAUAGAGAAGGAAGGAACAUUUUUACACUUCACACGUCCAACAGCAUCUGAUGAAGGGAACUACAAAUAUCACAAACAUCAAUGUUUCUUACAAAGAAUCGCAUGCGUCUAUGACUGAAGAAGGCCCCUACCCUAAUGUGAUGAUGAUGAGGGGAGGCUUGGCAGUGACCAUGGUUGCUGUCAUCUUUGUUGGAGUAACUCUGAAGAAAAUACAUCUCUGGAGACUUCACCAGAAAAACUGUGUCCCUUCCAAAGAGUUUUACAUAAAACAUGAUGUCUUUAUGAACUCAAAUGAUUUCACAGCACUUCAGUAUAUGGAGGUGAAGGAUAUUGAGCCGACGAGCCGUACAGCACAUUCAUAUUGAGAACCAAUGGGCUUUACUCAACUGCCCAACUGGACAUCCAGUUGGACUCCCUGUGCUGAUGAUGACUAAUACUAUACACACUGGUCACAACUCUUUUUGACCCUUACCAUAGUCUGCUUCCCGACCACUUUCCAGUAAUAUUAUUUCUUUGGCUCUCUUCCAACUUCAUUACUUAUCAAUAUUGGUUUUCUGCUCACACUCCCCCCCCUCCCACACACACUCAAUAAUCUAUAUUUCUGAUAUUCACAGAAUCAUGUUCCACCUAAAUUGUUUAAAGUGACAUUUGUAAUGAACAAAUACAAUGUUAUCUAAUUUAUUAUUAAUAAAAGUGACUUUGCACCCUUCAUCUGAGUUACCAAGAACAUUGUGGUUUCCUAAUGU